rnacentral:misc_RNA from 1 species
CAACCCCUCAGCUAACGCUGGUUUUGAACCCGAAUGGUCUCGUGCCACACCGGUUUUAAAGUUGUAAGCUCUGCUGGCCGCUCUGCCCCAACCAGAACAUAGUAAGCAACUACUUGUUAGGGUGAAGGUGAACGGUAAGGCCUGAACAAAACCUACCACUUCUCAAG